rnacentral:rRNA from 1 species
GACGAACGCUGGCGGCGCGCCUAACACAUGCAAGUCGAACGAGCAAAGAGGAGCUUGCUUCUCUGAGCGAGUGGCGAACGGGUGAGUAACGCGUGAGGAACCUGCCCUCAAAGAGGGGGACAACAGUUGGAAACGACUGCUAAUACCGCAUAAGCCCACGGGUCGGCAUCGACCAGAGGGAAAAGGAGCAAUCCGCUUUGAGAUGGCCUCGCGUCCGAUUAGCUAGUUGGUGAGGUAACGGCCCACCAAGGCGACGAUCGGUAGCCGGACUGAGAGGUUGAACGGCCACAUUGGGACUGAGACACGGCCCAGACUCCUACGGGAGGCAGCAGUGGGAAUAUUGCACAAUGGGGGGAAAACCCCUGAUGCAGCGACGCCGCGUGAGUGAUGAAGUAUUCGGUAUGUAAAAACUCUAAUCAGCAGGGAAGAUAAUGACGGUACCUGACUAAGAAAGCACCGGCUAAANACGUGCCAGCAGCC